rnacentral:rRNA from 1 species
AGUGAACGCUGGCGGCGUGCCUAAUACAUGCAAGUCGAACGGAAUUUAAAAGAGCUUGCUCUUUUAAAUUUAGUGGCGCACGGGUGAGUAAUAUAUAGCUAAUCUGCCCCUUGCUGGAGGACAACAGUUAGAAAUGACUGCUAAUACUCCAUACUCCUUUUUACCAUAAGAUAAAUCGGGAAAGAAUUUCGGCAAGGGAUGAGACUAUAUCGUAUCAGCUAGUCGGUGGGGUAACGGCCUACCGAGGCUAUGACGCGUAACUGGUCUGAGAGGAUGAUCAGUCACAUUGGAACUGAGACACGGUCCAAACUCCUACGGGAGGCAGCAGUAGGGAAUAUUGCGCAAUGGGGGAAACCCUGACGCAGCAACGCCGCGUGGAGGAUGACACUUUUCGGAGCGUAAACUCCUUUUGUUAGGGAAGAAUAAGACGGUACCUAA